rnacentral:rRNA from 1 species
GACGAACGCUGGCGGCGUGCUUAACACAUGCAAGUCGAACGGAAAGGCCCUGCGUUUGUGCGGUUCUCGAGUGCCGAACGGGUGAGUAACACGUGUGUAACCUGCCCUUGACUUUGGGGUAACUUCACGAAACUGGGGCUAAUACAGGAUAGGAUCUCCUGCUGCAUGGUGGGCAGUGGAAAGUUUCGGCGGUUGGGGAUGGACUCGCGGCUUAUCAGCUUGUUGGUGGGGUAGUGGCUUACCAAGGCUUUGACGGGUACCCGGCCUUUGAGGGUGACCGGGCACCGUGGGACUGCGGUACGGACCAGAGUCCAACGGGAGGCAACGGGGGGGAAUAUUGCACAUUGGGCGGAAGCCUGAUGCGGCAACGCCGGGGGCGGGAUGACGUCCUUCGGGGUGUAAACCGCUGUCGCCUGUGACGAAGCGUGAGUGACGGUAAUGGAUAAAGAAGCACCGGCUAACUACGUG